UGGGGAAUAUUGCGCAAUGGGGGAAACCCUGACGCAGCGACGCCGCGUGUGGGAUGAAGGUCUUCGGAUUGUAAACCACUGUCGCGAGGGACGAAGCUCUGACGGUACCUCGAAAGGAAGCACCGGCUAACUCUGUGCCAGCAGCCGCGGUAAUACAGAGGGUGCGAGCGUUGUCCGGAAUCACUGGGCGUAAAGGGCGCGUAGGCGGCCCGGUAAGUAGGGGGUGAAAUCUCAUGGCUCAACUGUGAGGCUGCCUUCUAGACUGCCAGGCUUGAGCACAGUAGAGGCGAGUGGAAUUCCCGGUGUAGAGGUGAAAUUCGUAGAUAUUAGGAAGAACACCAGUGGCGAAGGCGGCUCACUGGUCCGGUACUGACGCUGAGGUGCGAAAGCGUGGGGAGCAAACAGGAUUAGAUACCCGAGUAGUCCCUGAGCGGGCUGGCAAGGCGCAU
rnacentral:rRNA from 1 species